UACGUAGGGUGCGAGCGUUAAUCGGAAUUACUGGGCGUAAAGCGUGCGCAGGCGGUGAUGUAAGACAGAUGUGAAAUCCCCGGGCUCAACCUGGGAACUGCAUUGUGACUGCAUCGCUGGAGUACGGCAGAGGGGGAUGGAAUUCCGGCGUGUAGCAGUGAAAUGCGUAGAUAUGCGGAGGAACACCGAUGGCGAAGGCAUCCCCUGGGGCCUGUACUGACGCUCAUGCACGAAAGGCGUGGGGAGCAAACAGG
rnacentral:rRNA from 1 species